UCUGUAUAACGGCAGUAAGACAGACCACGGAACAACAGACUGGUUCAAGAUUGGGAAAGGAGUAGAACAGGGCUUAUACGCUCACCCUACCUAUUCAACUUGUAUACAGAACACAUCAUGCGACAUGCGGGGCUUGACAAAUCCAAGGCUGGAGUUAAAAUUGCUGGAAGAAACAUUAACAGCCUUAGAUAUGCCGAUGAUACCACUUUGAUGGCUGAAAGUGAGAAGCUGAGGAGCCUAAUAGGUAGAGCUUUAUCUUACUUUAGCCUCAUUGUAAGCCUUCUUGAGUCCCAUGUUGGGAGAAAGGUGAGAAAUAAAACAUAAAUAAACAACUUCUGCAGAGCUACAUGAUUCUGUUCCAUAUAAUUCCUGGCUGACUCCCAAAAUGUAUCUGCAGAAUUCCUGUUCACAUUCUGUUGGGUAUUACUGGUCACUAAGGCCCCUUCCACAUAGCUAUAUAUAAUUCAGAUUGAACUAGAUUAUAUGGCAGUGUGUACUCAGAUAUUCUGGGUUAUAUGGCUGUGUGGAAGAGUCCUUAAUCCAAGUGUUAGUCCCAAUUAGAGUAGACCUAUUGAUUAGAGAAAUUUUCAUAAGUGACUUACCAAGUUUCUAUUUCUAGGACAGUUGGAUUUUGACUUUUGACUAGAGGUGUGUGUGAAAAAUUUUCCUUCGUUUCCUUCAUGCUAUUGUUUCGUUUCAACCGUUUGUCUACACAAAACGAACAACGACAUUUUUGUAGGAAACGAGAGGUGACACGGCAAUAAAAGCUGUACAAUCAUCAUGCUUGCUUUCAUUUCCUUUCAUUUCGGCCCCGUAACAAUAAGCAGGUACUGACAGGGAUGCUUUCCCAUUACAGCUGAUGUGUACCAAUGGGUGUUAAUAAUAUUAAUAUAAAUAACGAUAGUUACUGUGGUACCCUAAGCUGAUUUUGGGUCCGGGAGAGAAGUGAUUCCCAAUGACAUCUGAUGAGGUGGGGGUUCCACAAUGUCCACAGAGGGAAUCUGCAAAGACCUGGAGAAAUGUUAUGAGUUUUUGCACUUAAAAUACAAUAAAUGAAUAAAAAGAAGGAAGGAAGACAAAUGGACAGAUAGACUGCUGUACAUUGAUCUCAAAGAUCAGAGGUCUUGAGUGGUAGAAUUAUUUGUACAAAAUCUCAAUGUCGUAUCUCAAACUGUUCAAAUGAUUAAAAUAACUGUUUAUUACAAAAAAGAAUUACUCAGCACUUGCUA
rnacentral:lncRNA from 1 species